rnacentral:lncRNA from 1 species
ACAGGUACGUGGGCGGGCGGAUCGUGGUGGCUGCGCUUGCGAGGACCCUGAGGUAGAUUGGGUGGUUUCAACAGGAACGCAUCCACUGUCUGAGAGUUUAAACUUGAUUUUGUGAGGGGACGAACAGCGUGACAAUUAAAAGAAGAUCUGGGAAUCAUCCAAUGUGAUAAUUUAUGUGAAAUCUUUCUGCAAACUAUACAGUAUGAUAAAAAUAUAAGGUAGUUUCACUGGAAACAACAGAAGACUAGAAGCUGAUGUGACGUGGCAAUAUCAACCAGGAAUACCCAUCUCGAGUUCUGGAUAUGUGCUCUGAGAAGGUGCCCAUGUCACCGACCACACUGGAGGCCAAUGCAGAUACUGGGGGAAGGUUCCAUGGUAGCUAAGUGUGGACAAGCUAAUCACUGAAGUUCCCUGAUGCAGAGUUGAUAAUCUCUCUAGAGUUGGAUGAAAGACUGUGCUGCCUUGAAGCUCUGAGAGAUGCCAUGCCAAUUCAAGGCAGGGUCUUUAUUGUUGAAACUCUUGCGUAAUGACAUCUUUAUUCAGGUGAAAAUACAGGAUGAAUUUCAACUAUAUGAUAUUGUUUAUGUUCCUCAGACAUGUUAUUUGUCUUUACAAAGAUUGGUUUCAAUAAACUGUGUGACUGAUAUUAAAUAAACAUGGAAUUUUACACAUUCAUAAUA